AUGAAAUCCUUGAGAGUUUCACUGGUCAUUCUAUGGCUUCACUUAACCUGGACCAGUGGCCAACAGAGGGGAGUGGAGCAGAGCCCUGGACCUCUGGGUGUCCUGGAGCGAGCCACCGUCUCUCUUCAGUGCACUUACAGUGACCGUGCUUCUCAGUACUUUGCAUGGUACAGACAGUGUUCUGGGAAGGGCCCUGAGCUGCUGGUCUACUUUUACUCCAGAGAAGACGAAGUCGAAGGAAGAUUUACUGCAAAGAUUAAUAAAACCAGCCAGUCAAUCUCCCUGCUCAUCAAAGACACGCAGCCCGGAGACUCUGCCACUUACCUCUGUGCAAGAAAUGUCUAUAUGUUUAGUCAGAUAUUUUGGUUUGGAAGUACACAUUUAAAAUUUCAAACUGACUAUAUGAUUUGGUGCUUUAUGUGAAAGAAAGUCUAUAGGCAGAGUCUAGAAAUAAAUCAGAAGUCCAAGGGAGAAAUAAUUUC